GACGUAAAUCAUUCGUCCGAUUACUUGAGCAAAAGCGCAAUGAGAAUGGGAAUUUGGUCGACUUCUACAAAGAGACGCGUUGGUCGAAGAAAAAGAAUGCAUUUGUCACAGAUGCUACAGAAAAUACUUAUAAGGAGAUGCAAUGUAGGUUGGAUGGCCUAGGACCAGAGCAACGUAGUGAUGAGGCAGCA